rnacentral:rRNA from 1 species
UAGGGAAUAUUGGUCAAUGGGUGAGAGCCUGAACCAGCCAUGCCGCGUGCAGGAAGACGGCCUUCUGGGUUGUAAACUGCUUUUAUCUGGGGAUAAAAAGGCCUUGCGAGGCACAUUGAAGGUACCAGAUGAAUAAGCACCGGCUAACUACGUGCCAGCAGCCGCGGUAAUACGUAGGGUGCAAGCGUUGUCCGGAUUUAUUGGGUUUAAAGGGUGCGUAGGCGGUCUAUUAAGUCAGUGGUGAAAUCCAACAGCUCAACUGUUGAUGUGCCAAUGAUACUGAUGGACUUGAGUACAGACGAGGUAGGCGGAAUUGACAGUGUAGCGGUGAAAUGCAUAGAUAUUGUCAAGAACACCGAUAGCGAAGGCAGCUUGCUAGCCUGUAACUGACGCUGAGGCACG